rnacentral:rRNA from 1 species
AUGUUCUAACGUUGGCCCCUGACCGGGGUUGCGGACAGUGUCUGGUGGGUAGUUUGACUGGGGCGGUCUCCUCCCAAAGCGUAACGGAGGAGCACGAAGGUUAGCUAAUCCUGGUCGGACAUCAGGAGGUUAGUGCAAUGGCAUAAGCUAGCUUGACUGCGAGCGUGACGGCGCGAGCAGGUGCGAAAGCAGGUCAUAGUGAUCCGGUGGUUCUGAAUGGAAGGGCCAUCGCUCAACGGAUAAAAGGUACUCCGGGGAUAACAGGCUGAUACCGCCCAAGAGUUCAUAUCGACGGCGGUGUUUGGCACCUCGAUGUCGGCUCAUCACAUCCUGGGGCUGAAGUAGGUCCCAAGGGUAUGGCUGUUCGCCAUUUAAAGUGGUACGCGAGCUGGGUUUAGAACGUCGUGAGACAGUUCGGUCCCUAUCUGCCGUGGGCGCUGGAGAAUUGAGGGGGGCUGCUCCUAGUACGAGAGGACCGGAGUGGACGCAUCACUGGUGUUCGGGUUGUCAUGCCAAUGGCACUGCCCGGUAGCUAAAUGCGGAAGAGAUAAGUGCUGAAAGCAUCUAAGCACGAAACUUGCCCCGAGAUGAGUUCUCCCUGAGACUUUAAGUCUCCUGAAGGAACGUUGAAGACGACGACGUUGAUAGGCCGGGUGUGUAAGCGCAGCGAUGCGUUGAGCUAACCGGUACUAAUGAACCGUGAGGCUUAACCUU